UACGUAGGGGGCAAGCGUUGUCCGGAGUUAUUGGGCGUAAAGAGCGUGUAGGCGGCCAGACAGGUCCACUGUGAAAACUCGAGGCUCAACCUCGAGAGGGCGGUGGAAACCGUCUGGCUAGAGUCCGGAAGAGGCGAGUGGAAUUCCUGGUGUAGCGGUGAAAUGCGCAGAUAUCAGGAGGAACACCAAUUGCGAAGGCAGCUCGCUGGGACGUAACUGACGCUGAGACGCGAAAGCGUGGGGAGCAAACAGG
rnacentral:rRNA from 1 species